UUGAUUGGUGAGGAAAAACGAUUAACUGAAAAAACUGUCUGUGUAUAUACUUUGAAAGUGAAGAAAUUAACAACUGGUUUUUCAUCUCCUACUUCGGCUGUUAUCCUAGUAAUUUGGGAUAUUUAUUGAAUGCCUACAAGUUGCCCGGUACAGAAAUCAACUGGUGACAGACUUUGCCAUGCCGUGGAGUGUGGCCAGCGCCUGCUAGAGUCACAGAGAACUGAUACGUACCGACGGCCAACAUCUUUUUCUCAGACACGCGCUCCCUGGAUUCUUCGCACGGGGAGGAAGGUGGAGUUUACUUUAUGGAGACAUGCCUCGUGUUACCUGAUGGAUGUUGCCACGGCAGGUAAACCCAUCCCCAAUGUA